rnacentral:rRNA from 1 species
GAUGAACGCUGGCGGCGUGCCUAAUACAUGCAAGUCGAGCGAACGGACGAGAAGCUUGCUUCUCUGAUGUUAGCGGCGGACGGGUGAGUAACACGUGGAUAACCUACCUAUAAGACUGGGAUAACUUCGGGAAACCGGAGCUAAUACCGGAUAAUAUUUUGAACCGCAUGGUUCAAAAGUAAAAGACGGUCUUGCUGUCACUUAUAGAUGGAUCCGCGCUGCAUUAGCUAGUUGGUAAGGUAACGGCUUACCAAGGCAACGAUGCAUAGCCGACCUGAGAGGGUGAUCGUCCACACUGGAACUGAGACACGGUCCAGACUCCUACGGGAGGCAGCAGUAGGGAAUCUUCCGCAAAGGGCGAAAGCCUGACGGAGCAAAGACGCGUGAGUGAUGAAGGUCUUCGGAUCGUAAAACUCUGUUAUUAGGGAAGAACAUAUGUGUAAGUAACUGUGCACAUCUUGACGGUACCUAAUAAGAAAGCCACGGCUAACUACGUG